rnacentral:rRNA from 1 species
CCCUUAGAUGUUCUGGGCAGCACGCGCGCUACACUGAAGGAAGCAGCGUGUUAGAGUACCUGGCUUGGAAGAGCUGGGUAAUCCGGUGAAUGUCCUUCGUGAUUGGGAUAGGCACUUGUAAUUAUUUGCCUCGAACGAGGAAUACCUAGUAAGUGCGAGUCAUCAGCUUGCGCUGACUACGUCCCUGCCCCUUGUACACACCGCCCGUCGCUCCUACCGAUCGAAGAGUUAGGUGAAUUGUUUUGAUCGAUAAGAUUUGACUAUGGUCAACUCUCGUUGUGAAAUUCUGUGAAUCUGACUGUUUAGAGGAAGGAAAAGUCGUAACA